rnacentral:rRNA from 1 species
UCAAGAGGAACGCCGGAGGUGAAGACGACUCGCUGGGCCUGUCCUGACGCUGAGGUGCGAAAGCCAGGGGAGCAAACGGGAUUAGAUACCCCGGUAGUCCUGGCCCUAAACGAUGUCCAUAGGUUGGAGGCACUCUGACGUGUUUCCGGCCGAAACAAAAGCGUUAAGUGGACCGCCUGGGGAGUACGGUCGCAAGGCUAAAACUCAAAGGAAUUGACGGGUGCUCACACAAGCGGUGGAGCAUGUUGCUCAAUUCGAUGCAACGCGAAGAACCUUAUCCUGGGCUUGACAUGCACGGAUACUUGCCUGGAAACAGAACAGGUUGCCCUUCGGGGUGAAACGUGCACAGGUGCUGCAUGGCUGUCGUCAGCUCGUGUCGUGAGAUGUCGGGUUAAGUCCCUUAACGAGCGAAACCCUUGUCGCUAAUUGCCAGCGGGUAAAGCCGGGAACCUUAGCGAGACUGCCGGUGUCAAACCGGAGGAAGGCGGGGAUGACGUCAAGUCCUCAUGGCCUUUAUGCCCAGGGCCGCAAACGUGCUACAAUGGCGCAGACAAACCGACGCAAAACCGCGAGGUCGAGCAAAUCGGAAAAAACGCGCCCCAGUCCGGAUUGGAGUCUGCAACUCGACUCCAUGAAGUUGGAAUCGCUAGUAAUCGCGGAUCAGCUACGCCGCGGUGAGUGUGUUCCUGAGCAUUGUACACACCGCCCGUCAAGUCAUGGAAGCCGGGAGCGCCCGAAGCCGGCACGUUUCAGUGCUGUCUAAGGUGAGCU